rnacentral:rRNA from 1 species
GACGAACGCUGGCGGCGUGCCUAAUACAUGCAAGUAGAACGCUGAAGGGAGAGCUUGCUCUUCUGGAUGAGUUGCGAACGGGUGAGUAACGCGUAGGUAACCUGCCUGGUAGCGGGGGAUAACUAUUGGAAACGAUAGCUAAUACCGCAUAACAGCAAAUGUUGCAUGACAUUUGCUUAAAAGGUGCAAUUGCAUCACUACCAGAUGGACCUGCGUUGUAUUAGCUAGUUGGUGGGGUAACGGCUCACCAAGGCGACGAUACAUAGCCGACCUGAGAGGGUGAUCGGCCACACUGGGACUGAGACACGGCCCAGACUCCUACGGGAGGCAGCAGUAGGGAAUCUUCGGCAAUGGACGGAAGUCUGACCGAGCAACGCCGCGUGAGUGAAGAAGGUUUUCGGAUCGUAAAGCUCUGUUGUAAGAGAAGAACAAGUGUGAGAGUGGAAAGUUCACACUGUGACGGUAUCUUACCAGAAAGGGACGGCUAACUACGUGCCAGCAGCCGCGGUAAUACGUAGGUCCCGAGCGUUGUCCGGAUUUAUUGGGCGUAAAGCGAGCGCAGGCGGUUAGAUAAGUCUGAAGUUAAGGGCUGUGGCUUAACCAUAGUACGCUUUGGAAACUGUUUAACUUGAGUGCAAGAGGGGAGAGUGGAAUUCCAUGUGUAGCGGUGAAAUGCGUAGAUAUAUGGAGGAACACCGGUGGCGAAAGCGGCUCUCUGGCUUGUAACUGACGCUGAGGCUCGAAAGCGUGGGGAGCAAACAGG